rnacentral:rRNA from 1 species
AUGGAUUCAGGAAGGUAUCCUUCCUCCCUGGGUGGAGCGAGCUGCAGAUCCCGUCCGGCCCUCGGGAACCGGCCAUCUCCGCCUCCUCCUCGCCGCUGCCGCUGGGGAUCACGUCUUCACCAAACGCGAGCUCCGCCCCAUCCGACCGACCGCAAAGGGAGGUACGACAUGGCGGAAACAAAACUGCACGGCAAUGUGCAUUUCUGCAACACAUCAGGUCUACAUUUUCCAUUGCCCUGGACUUAUGAACGGAAGAAAAAGCAACAUGAAGUUCCUGUCUGCAUCAAACUGCUUUCACUUAUAUUCUGCCGAAUUUGUUCCUUCUAUGGGACUGUACAUGGGGAUUAUCUACAAGGGUUAUGUCCUCUGCAGGUAGAUUAUCUUAUAGGACAGGCGAAAUGCAACAGAAGAAGCUCCUCCGCUGCUACUCGCCAAACUCCAAGCAAAAAGGACCUUCCACUUUCCUUGCUAAUGGGGCCUCAGUUUGUUCGGAAUCAGAUACAACCAUUUGAUCCAUUAUUGUUCGUGGGCGUCAUAUUUAAAAAAAAUUGGAUUUUGUAA